rnacentral:lncRNA from 1 species
GUCCCCUGGGUGCUAUGUAACCCUAUAAAAGCCCCCCUCUUGGGUUCUGGGUGCUAUCAAGCUCUCCAUAAGACCACCCUUAGGUUUUGGGGUCCCUGGGUGCUAUAUAACCCUCUACAAGACCCCUUUGAGUUUUGGGGUCCCCUGGGUGCUGUAUAACCCUCUGUAAGCCCCUACCUGAGUUUUGGGGUCCCCUGGGUGUUAUGUAACCCUCUAUAAGCCCCCCCCUGAGUUUUGGGGUCCCCUGGGUAUUAUGAAGCCCUCCAUAAGACCACCCUUAGGUUUUGGGGUCCCCUGAGUGCUAUGUAACCCUCUAAAAGCCCCCCUCUGGGGUUUUGGGAUCCUCUGGGUGCUACAGAGCCCUCCACAAGACCCCUUUGAGUUUUGGGGUCCCCUGAGUGCUACAGCCCCCCUCCAACUUCAGCUCAGCCCCAUCCCCACCUGCAGCACCCCCAGCACCUUCCUUCCCCAAACCCACCCCGGAGCUGUCCCCUCACCCCAAGCCCCUUCCGCCCUGCGUGGCGGGGCUCCCAGUGCUCCCAGUGCUCCCAGUGCUCCCAGUAGGGGGCUCACCGAAGGCUUUUCGGGGCUCGGUGAGGCGCAGGGCGAAGGGGCGCCCCUUGGGUGCUUUGUAACCCUCUACAAGACCCCCCCUGAGUUUUGGGGUCCCCUGGGUAUCAUGAAGCCCUCCAUAAGACCACCCUUAGGUUUUGGGGUCCCUUGGGGGUUACUGAGCCUUCUACAAGACUCCCUUUGAGUUUUGGGGUCCCCUGGGUGCUACCUAACCCUCUGUAAUCCCCUACCUGAGUUUUGGGGUCCCCUGGGUGCUACAGCCCCCCUCCAAUUUCAGCUCAGCCCCAUCCCCACCCCCUCACCCCAAACCCACGGGGCAGGGCCCCCUUCCGCCUUGUGUGGCGGGGCUCCCAGUGCUCCCAGUAGGGGGCUCACCGAAGGCUUUUCGGGGCUCGGUGAGGCGCAGGGCGAAGGGGCGCCCCUUGGGGAGCUCCUUCAGCAGCUUGGCCACCUCGAAGUGCCGCGCGCCCACCAGGCUGCGCCCGUCGAUGGCCUCGAUCAUGUCCCCGACCCCGAUCACCGGGAUGCGGUCGAUCACGCUGCCCUCCUUGAUGCGC